rnacentral:rRNA from 1 species
AACGAACGCUGGCGGCAUGCCUAACACAUGCAAGUCGAACGAGACCUUCGGGUCUAGUGGCGCACGGGUGCGUAACGCGUGGGAACCUGCCCUUAGGUUCGGAAUAACUCCCCGAAAGGGGUGCUAAUACCGGAUAAUGUCUUCGGACCAAAGAUUUAUCGCCUUUGGAUGGGCCCGCGUUGGAUUAGCUAGUUGGUAGGGUAAAAGCCUACCAAGGCGACGAUCCAUAGCUGGUCUGAGAGGAUGAUCAGCCACACUGGGACUGGGACACGGCCCAGAAUACUGGGGGAGGGGGGAAAGGGGGAUACUGGAAUACCGGCGGGAGGAUGAACGAGCAAUGCUGGGAGAGUGAUGAAGUUCGGAGAGUUGUAAAGCACUUUUACCCGGGAUGAUAAUGACAGUACCGGGAGAAUAAGCACCGGCUAACUCCGUG